rnacentral:rRNA from 1 species
AUUGAACGCUGGCGGCAGGCCUAACACAUGCAAGUCGAGCGAGAAAGGUCUUCGGACUGAGUACAGCGGCGGACGGGUGAGUAAUGCGCAGGAAUCUACCUGGUAGUGGGGGAUAACUCGGGGAAACUCGAACUAAUACCGCAUACGCCUACGGGGAAAGCGGGGACCGUUCGGGCCUCGCGCUAUCAGAUGAGCCUGCGUAGGAUUAGCUUGUUGGUGAGGUAAAGGCUCACCAAGGCGACGAUCCUUAGCUGGUCUGAGAGGAUGAUCAGCCACACUGGAACUGAGACACGGUCCAGACUCCUACGGGAGGCAGCAGUGGGGAAUAUUGCGCAAUGGGCGAAAGCCUGACGCAGCCAUGCCGCGUGUGUGAAGAAGGCCCUUGGGUUGUAAAGCACUUUCAAUUGGGAAGAAAGGUUGCGUGUUAAUAGCACGUAGCUGUGACGUUACCUUUAGAAGAAGCACCGGCUAACUCCGUGCCAGCAGCCGACGG